rnacentral:rRNA from 1 species
GAUGAACGCUGGCGGCGUGCUUAACACAUGCAAGUCGAACGAUGAAGCCCAGCUUGCUGGGUGGAUUAGUGGCGAACGGGUGAGUAACACGUGAGUAACCUGCCCUUAACUCUGGGAUAAGCCUGGGAAACUGGGUCUAAUACCGGAUAGGAGCGUCCCCCGCAUGGUGGGGGUUGGAAAGAUUUAUCGGUUUUGGAUGGACUCGCGGCCUAUCAGCUUGUUGGUGAGGUAAUGGCUCACCAAGGCGACGACGGGUAGCCGGCCUGAGAGGGUGACCGGCCACACUGGGACUGAGACACGGCCCAGACUCCUACGGGAGGCAGCAGUGGGGAAUAUUGCACAAUGGGCGCAAGCCUGAUGCAGCGACGCCGCGUGAGGGAUGACGGCCUUCGGGUUGUAAACCUCUUUCAGUAGGGAAGAAGCGAAAGUGACGGUACCUGCAGAAGAAGCACCGGCUAACUACGUG